AGGAUUAUAGUUUAUGAAUAAAAAACAUUUGAUUUGCAUUCAAAAAAUAUUGAAUUUCAAUUUAUCUUA
rnacentral:tRNA from 1 species